AGCAAUAGUCGCGAAGUGAUUGAUCCUACACUGUCGAGAAAAGCUUCUAGGUAGAGACACAUCGCCCGUACCAAAACCGACACAGGUAGGCGGGGAGAGAAUCCUAAGGUGCGCGGGAAAACCCUCGUUAAGGAACUCGGCAAAAUGCCUCCGUAACUUCGGGAAAAGGAGGACUCAU
rnacentral:rRNA from 1 species